AAGCAUUUCCAAAUAUUUCUAUGAAAGGCGAAUGAAAAGCAACAACAAACAUGUUACUCGUGAUACAACACACCCAAUCCCCACACUUGGCUCAUGAUUCACAUAUUCAUGCCUCAUGAAUUCACGCCCAACAACAAGACCGUGUUCAGGAAAAAUCAUAAACAAACUAUAAUUCCUUAACCAAGAUCAUGGAAUAUAUAAUCAUCAGAGCAACCUUAUGUUCCAGAC
rnacentral:lncRNA from 1 species